CACGCCGUAAACGAUGAAUACUAGGUGUUGGUGAGCAAAGCUCAUCGGUGCCGCCGCAAACGCAAUAAGUAUUCCACCUGGGGAGUACGUUCGCAAGAAUGAAACUCAAAGGAAUUGACG
rnacentral:rRNA from 1 species